UUAAAGAAAGCGUAAUAGCUCACUGGUCGAGUCGGCCUGCGCGGAAGAUGUAACGGGGCUAAGUAGUAAACCGAAGCUGCGGCAAUAUACUUUUGUAUAUUGGGUAGGGGAGCGUUCUGUAAGCGGUUGAAGGUGUGUGGUAACGCAUGCUGGACGUAUCAGAAGUGCGAAUGCUGACAUGAGUAACGAUAAAGGGGGUGAAAAACCUCCUCGCCGGAAGACCAAGGGUUCCUGUCCAACGUUAAUCGGGGCAGGGUAAGUCGACCCCUAAGGCGAGGCCGAAAGGCGUAGUCGAUGGGAAACGGGUUAAUAUUCCCGUACUUCUUACAAUUGCGAUGGGGGGGACGGAGAAGGCUAGGUGGGCCUGGCGACGGUUGUCCAGGUUCAAGUGCGUAGGCUUAAGAGUUAGGUAAAUCCGGCUCUUUUUAAGGC
rnacentral:rRNA from 1 species